CACGAACGCUGGCGGCAGGCUUAACACAUGCAAGUCGAACGCCCCGCAAGGGGAGGGGCAGACGGGUGAGUAACGCGUGGGAAUCUACCUAGUUCUACGGAACAACUGAGGGAAACUUCAGCUAAUACCGUAUACGCCCUACGGGGGAAAGAUUUAUCGGAAUUAGAUGAGACCGCGUUGGAUUAGCUAGUUUGUGUGGUAAUGGCCUACCAAGGCGACGAUCCAUAGCUGGUCUGAGAGGAUGAUCCGCCACACUGGGACUGAGACACGGCCCAGAAUCCUACGGGAUGCAGCAGUGGGGAAUAUUGGACAAUGGGCGCAAGCCUGAUCCAGCCAUGCCGCGUGAGUGAUGAAGGCCUUAGGGUUGUAAAGCUCUUUCAGUGGGGAAGAUAAUGACGGUACCCACAGAAGAAGCCCCGGCUAACUUCGUGCCAGCCGCCGCCGUAAGAC
rnacentral:rRNA from 1 species